rnacentral:rRNA from 1 species
UACGAAGGGGGCUAGCGUUGUUCGGAAUCACUGGGCGUAAAGCGCACGCAGGCGGAUCGUUAAGUCAGGGGUGAAAUGCCGAGGCUCAACCUCGGAACUGCCUUUGAUACUGGCGAUCUUAGAGUCCGGGAGAGGUGAGUGGAACUCCGAGUGUAGAGGUGAAAUUCGUAGAUAUUGGGAAGAACACCGGUGGCGAAGGCGGCUCUCUGGACCGAUACUGACGCUGAGGCGCGAAAGCGUGGGGAGCAAACAGG